UAUAAUGCACGGUAAGCCUGCUUCAUGCGGUGUUUGUUGGAGUCAACACAUGCCGAUGCAAGUGAGUAAUCUCCUUUCGAGAAGUAAAAUAAGUGCGAUCAUAUUUGUUUGUGGAAGUUGUGCCUUCCAGUGAUGAAGUGGAAAGACUCGGCUUUUCUUGCUCCUCUUUGACAUCCGGACAUGGCCAUUGAUCAACACC
rnacentral:lncRNA from 1 species